GCCCCUUCGCCUCCCCCGGGCCGCCAUUGGUUCCCCUUGGCCAAGGCGGCCCUCCGUUGGAACCAAUGACCCGCCGGCUCUUGGAGGGCGCUCCCCAACCCGUGGCCGGCCCAAGUGUCACUCUCAGACCCGAAGGUUCUUAUAAGGGAAAUCUCGCGAGCUUUCUCCGCUCCGCUCUCAGGAAAAGAUGAAAAGGAACCCGAUCUGGCUACCAGUAUUAAAUACAACUCUACAAUCAGAACAAGGAAACAGUUGGUGGAAAAGGCGAAAAUGUGCUCCGGGUGAAAUCUGGCUGUUGCCUCACUGCUUCCUAAAUAAAAAAGGAAGAAAGAGAAAAAGCACAAUUCACUAAGAAAGAGGACAACAACAGGGAUUUAACUGUAAGCCAGGAACUCAGCAGCAGACAUGGCUGCUCACUCAGCUGUGGGGGAAAUCUUGUCACCUUUCCUGUUUGAGAUAUCCAUGCCAUCUGAGCUGUGAACUCUUUAAGCAAUUUAAGUUUUGUGGACUCUUCGAUAUGGUAAAUGUUGUGGGGAUUCUGAAUUAGAAGCACUAGGAAGUCACAUUUUACAGUAAAAACCUUCUGUUCCUCUUUUGCUAACGAGGACAAGCACAAACAAACUCGACAGCAAACAACCAGACACUUUCCCUGAAGCAACUGGUCCCUGUUUUUUGCAGAUAUGGAUUACAGGGUGGCUGAAUUUAUCUUUCCUGUUUUUAGCAUUGUUUUGAAGCAAGCAACCUCAGUGGUCUCCAAGUCUGUUUAGAUCAGGGCUUCUUAAACUUCUUAAAAUGGGGUCCUUUUACUUGGGAGUCUGUGAAAAAUCUGGCAACAGUAAAAGGAUUCUGAAUGCCCCGCAUUUAUGCAAAUCUGUUAGCAACAAUGUGUGCAGUGGGCUCUGCAGAAAAGGCUUCAACUGUACUCCACAAAAGGGAAAACCAGCCUGUGUAAAUGCAAAUGCAAUGCUGAUUUAGUAUCAGUCAAUGUUUUAUAUACCUACAUACCUGGGGUCACACAAACUUUUAUCAGGAAGAAAGGGAUCACGAGUGGAAAAAAGUUAUAAAAGCUCUGGUUUAGAGGAACAGUGAGGUGAAAGAGAAGGAUUAUGAGUACUUAACUUUUUCUUCCAGAUUUUUUUUCUGCUCAAAGACCUGCCUUCCUUAAAUUUUUACUCCCAGGAUAAGGCUAUGUAUAAAACUUUUCUUAGCAGAUAGGCUUAUUUUUCUCAUGAGAAAAGACAGGAAGUUCAGUAGAAAGAAAAGUGCUCUUCUGAAACCAGAAAGACUUUCCCAUUGUCUGCCGUUUGGCGACAAGAGCUCAGAGAGCUGACUUCCAAUAUGAUCAAAUAUAGUCUAUCCAAUCAAGAAGAAACGAAACUAAAAAUGACACAUUCUUUUUCGGAAAUAUAACAAAAUAGGAUGAGACAGUUUUCUUUCUUUGUAUGAAUUACUCAUUGGUGCUAAGUUUAUUAUGAACUAAGAUCGCAUUCAAAAAGAACAUUUGGCACAGUUGCACAUUUUAAAAAGGCUAUAAAAACCAGGAUAUGUGUGUAUGUUUUACAGAAUUGGUAGAAUGCAUAACUUUGUAUAGAAAUAAAAUGUAGAAAUAUUGUUUUUUUAUGAGUAAAAUAUGUAGGGAAUCUGAUGGAAUGAUUUCCCCACAAAGAAAUUGCAGUCUUGUCAUCUUAUGUUGUGUAUUGUAUAUACGAAGAUCCAAUUCUGGAUCCCAGAGCUGGGAAGAGCAACAAACAGAGAUUUUAUUUAUGUCUUAGUCCAUUGCUCAAUAUAUUGAUUGCAGUUGAAUAAAGAAUUGAAGAAGUCAGAUUUAUCA